rnacentral:rRNA from 1 species
AUUGAACGCUGGCGGCAUGCUUUACACAUGCAAGUCGAACGGUAACAGGUUAAGCUGACGAGUGGCGAACGGGUGAGUAAUGCAUCGGAACGUGCCCGAUCGUGGGGGAUAACGCAGCGAAAGCUGCGCUAAUACCGCAUGCGAUCUGAGGAUGAAAGCGGGGGACCGUAAGGCCUCGCGCGAUCGGAGCGGCCGAUGUCAGAUUAGGUAGUUGGUGGGGUAAAGGCCCACCAAGCCGACGAUCUGUAGCUGGUCUGAGAGGACGACCAGCCACACUGGGACUGAGACACGGCCCAGACUCCUACGGGCGGCAGCAGUGGGGAAUUUUGGACAAUGGGCGAAAGCCUGAUCCAGCAAUGCCGCGUGCAGGGAGAAGGCCUUCGGGUUGUAAACUGCUUUUGUACGGAGCGAAAAGGUCCUUUCUAAUACAAGGGGCUCAUGACGGUACCGUAAGAAUAAGCACCGGCUAACUACGUGCCAGCCGCCGCGGUAAUAC